rnacentral:rRNA from 1 species
CGGGCGUUAAGUUGCAGGGUAUAGACCCGAAACCCGGUGAUCUAGCCAUGGGCAGGUUGAAGGUUGGGUAACACUAACUGGAGGACCGAACCGACUAAUGUUGAAAAAUUAGCGGAUGACCUGUGGCUGGGGGUGAAAGGCCAAUCAAACCGGGAGAUAGCUGGUUCUCCCCGAAAGCUAUUUAGGUAGCGCCUCGUGAAUUCAUCUCCGGGGGUAGAGCACUGUUUCGGCUAGGGGGCCAUCCCGGCUUACCAACCCGAUGCAAACUGCGAAUACCGGAGAAUGUUAUCACGGGAGACACACGGCGGGUGCUAACGUCCGUCGUGAAGAGGGAAACAACCCAGACCGCCAGCUAAGGUCCCAAAGUCAUGGUUAAGUGGGAAACGAUGUGGGAAGGCCCAGACAGCCAGGAUGUUGGCUUAGAAGCAGCCAUCAUUUAAAGAAAGCGUAAUAGCUCACUGGUCGAGUCGGCCUGCGCGGAAGAUGUAACGGGGCUAAACCAUGCACCGAAGCUGCGGCAGCGACGCUUAUGCGUUGUUGGGUAGGGGAGCGUUCUGUAAGCCGUUGAAGGUGGCCUGUGAGGGUUGCUGGAGGUAUCAGAAGUGCGAAUGCUGACAUAAGUAACGAUAAAGCGGGUGAAAAGCCCGCUCGCCGGAAGACCAAGGGUUCCUGUCCAACGUUAAUCGGGGCAGGGUGAGUCGACCCCUAAGGCGAGGCCGAAAGGCGUAGUCGAUGGGAAACGGGUUAAUAUUCCCGUACUUGGUGUUACUGCGAAGGGGGGACGGAGAAGGCUAUGUUGGCCGGGCGACGGUUGUCCCGGUUUAAGCGUGUAGGCUGGUUUUCCAGGCAAAUCCGGAAAAUCAAGGCUGAGGCGUGACGACGA